CCUACCUUGUGGAUUACUUGUUUUCCUUAAAUGAAUAUAUUAAAAACUUUUUUUAAUCUUCUGUGGAAGCACAAAGACGAGAGAUUUAUUUGGCAUUUAGCAAUAUAUAGUGGUGCUCUACCAAGUUUGUUAAAAUCAUGCCCUGGGGUCAAAACUAGAUAUGCCCUCUGUCACAAGAUUUAUGUAGACUUAUAUAGUAAAUAACUUAUAAAAUCUUCGCAUGAACCCCUAGGGUAAUGAGGUUGAUAUUUGGUGUUUAGCAUGUCAUGGUAAUCCUUGGCCAAAUUUGUUCAAAUCCUGCAUCUUAGGUCAAAAUUGGCCCGCCCUAGGAGUUUCUUAUUUUCCUUAUAUAUAUAUAAAUACAUUAAAAAUAUUCGUAUUCUCUUAAAUCGCAAUGCCUAAAAAAAAUAAUUUGCUUAUCAUUAUCAUCUAAAUCGUAUUAUCUGAAUGUGCAAUUACCGUAAUUUUUUUCCUUGGGUUAAUGAGCCAUAUCAUAUCAAAAUGAUCUUAUGCCAUAUUGGGCCAGCCUAGCUCCAGACCAGACUGGUCUGGGGUAACACUGUCUGCUACAAAGUCAUGUAAGGUUUCAUCAUCUCAUAGGUGAACAAGGUAGCUCCUCACCAGACUGGUCUGGGGUAACACUGUCUGCUACAAAGUCAGGUAAGGUUUCAUCAUCUCAUAGGUGAACAAGGUAGCUCCUCACCAGACUGGGUAGGGGUAACACUGUCUGCUACAAAGUCAUGUAAGGUUUCAUCAUCUCAUAGGUGAACAAGGUAGCUCCUCACCAGACUGGUCUGGGGUAACACUGUCUGCUACAAAGUCAGGUAAGGUUUCAUCAUCUCAUAGGUGAACAAGGUAGCUCCUCACCAGACUGGGUAGGGAUAACACUGUCUGCUACAAAGUCAGGUAAGGUUUCAUCAUCUCAUUAGUGGACAAGAUAGCUCCUCACCAGACUGGUCUGGGGUAACACUGUCUGCUACAAAGUCAGGUAAGGUUUGGUCAUCUCAUUAGUGGACAAGGUAGCUCCUCACCAGACUGGUCAGGGGUAACACUGUCUGCUACAAAGUCAGGUGAGGUUUGGUCAUCUCAUUAGUGGACAAGGUAGCUCCUCACCAGACUGGUCAGGGGUAACACUGUCUGCUACAAAGUCAGGUAAGGUUUGGUCAUCUCAUAGGUGGACAAGGUAGCUCCUCACCAGACUGGUCAGGGGUAACACUGUCUGCAACAAAGUCAGGUAAGGUUUGGUCAUCUCAUUAGUGGACAAGGUAGCUCUUUACCAGACUGGUCAGGGGUAACACUGUCUGCUACAA